ACCAUGCAGGGAAAUAACACUCCCCCAGCUAGGUGUUUGCUCCACCUAUUGAAUCCCCCCUUCAUUCCUCAGAUACACCUGCUCCAGUAAAACAACGACAUCAAAGGUACAAGCAAAGCACGCCAGCUGCUCUGUUGUUGGCUGCACAAGCGGACAAAAAAGCCUGUUUUUACUUCCUACGCCUGAGAACCUGAGGACCCAGUGGAUUCAUUUUGUUUUUGAUGGAAAUGUACCCACAACAACUGCUAAAGUGUUGUAUGUGUGUGGUAACCAUUUUACUAUGGACUGCUUUCUCAACGAGAACAGUACAAAGCAGGACUCGAUACAUUUCUGAAGAUAAAGCAUGGAUCCGUACCGACUGUCCGUGACCCAACUGAAAACAUGGGCGCUUUUGCUGCAAAAAGGGAUGUUGCAUGCCAGACUGACCCACAGGAAUCACGCACAGAGUUAUCCUUGAGGACUCUACAGCAUCACUUCAGAAGUACAGAAAGAGAAAAAGACUUUCAAAGAGAUCUGCUCUGGACCUAGAGGAGGAGGAAGACAACGAUGAUCCAUCAGAGGGCAGCUCUCCAGUGGCAGCUUCACAAGGGCUAGAUGCGACCAAUGACCAUGCAGACUCUGUCACAG